UUCCAGGAUAGCCAGGGCUAAAUAAGACCUUGUUUUUUUUAAAGAAACAAAGAAAAGCUUCUAGUACCUCAGGAACAUUUAAAUAAAAUAAACUGAACUGAUGUCAUCCUGAUCCCAGCAGCAGCUCAGUUAUUAUGUUAAAGUUGAAGGGCUUCCUUUUUUAUGAGUCUGUAUUUGGGGAGGACUGAGCUGAGAUUUGUUGUAGGCGGGUUUUAGAUCAUGAGCCCAAAGCUAUAGAGCAGAGACAGCAGUAUGUUGAAGCUACUCUGCCUGUGACCUAAACUGGGACUUGGAUGCCUUCUUCAAGUUCUAUAAUAUGUUUGAGAUCUCUUCUGGCCUAAAACAAUUUUCUUCAGGCAUUCAGCAGCCUUCAGAAAGAAGUACCUUAAUUUUUACCUAGUUUUAUUGUUCCAAUUUCCUAUGUGUUUCUUUUUUUACUCAAUAAACAAGCAGAAUUUUUGUCCUGCUUUAUCCAGGUAUUAAAGACGAGAAGUUGGAUCCACUGAGUUAGUAUGUUUCCUUGUAAAAGAAAAGUGAUUAAACUUAAGUUUAAGCCUUCUUUUGUAUUGUAACUUUGUCACAAAAGUAACUUGAAAUCUUAAAACAGUUAAACAUCAUUAGGCACAGUGGUCGUGCAAAUUAUUACAUGUACAUGGUCUUGUAAUGUUCUGAAAUAAGAGAUUUUUUCAAUAAAUAAUUAUAUUAUGAUUGACUACUUUUAAAGGUACAUUUGUAAGACCAGGUUCAGAGACAUAAUUGCUUAUAGUCUCAGCUACUAUGAAGCAGAGACAAGAGGAUCACUUGAUCUCAGGAGUUAAUGGCAAUAGAAAGUCCUUCACAACAGUAGGUGGGUGCAGUAGGUUACCAAGAGAUAUUUUUUCUUUACCAUAAGCACAAUGUUGCUUGCUACUAAAAUAUGUCAUUCUGGGGCAGGAGAGUUAAGAUGGUAAGUGCUUGAGACCUAACUUAAUCCGUAGAACCAACAUUCAAAAAACCAGGAAGCUCCAAUAACAAAAGCUACACAGAGAAAACCUGUCUGGGGGGGUGAGGGGAAACUAAAGGAAGAAGGGAAGAAAAGACCAGAAGGGGCAGGGCAUCGUGGGCAGGCAGCACAUCACAUACCCUGAAUCCCAGCAAGCAGAUCUCUGUGAGUUUAAGGCCAAUCAAGGUGACUAAGACUCUGUCUCAAAACAACAGAGCUAGCAGGCUGUAAUGAUGUAUACUUGUAAGCAAAGCCCUGGGGCUUGCCGGCCAGCAUGAGUAAGCCUAAUCAGUGAGUUCCAGGUCCACAGUGGAAGACCCUGAUUCCAAAAAGGUGAGAUUUCUUAAACGUCUGUAAAGAUAAGAAAACGCUGCUACCCUAUGGGUGAAAUGACCUUGAGAAAUCUAGUCUUAGACCUGCCUCUCACAUGGUGUAGAUGAAUGGUGACUUGAAACUCUUAGGUAAUAGAGUAUACAUAGAGCUGUAGGCUAUUUCUGCUUCUGUAGCUUUUGAUUUAAUGGAAUUGUCCAAUAAUGGUAAUACCAUAUUAUUUCUCUGCUCAAAAAUUAUGGAAAAUGACUGAGGAUGGUGGCAUAUACCUUUAAUCUCAGCACUCGGGAGACAGGAGUUUAGAUCUCUGAAUUUGAGGACUGCUGGGGCUACAUAGUAUAACUAUCUUCAAGACAAAAAUUGUAGAGGGUAUUUCCUAGAAUGCUCAGAUACAUUCUAAUUUUUCCUGUUGGUCAUCUCAGAAGCUUGCAUGACAGUGAAUUCAGUUUCAUAAAUCUUCAGCAAAUAGACUGUCUUCUGCAAAGACUCUCAAUGUUGAUUGACAUUUACUGAUAUUUUUAUAGUCUUUUGAGCUUGUGGAAGGGGUGUUUUGGUUUGGUUUUUGGUUUUCUCAACAAGUUUUUUGGUUUGGUGGGUGUUUUUUGUUUUUGUUUUUUAAUGUUUCAUAGAAAUUACAAAACGUUCUACCUAUUCACUGAGAAGUGUACAAGGAUUCUUUUAAAUCUUCCUUGUUCAGUUAAUACGUACUUGUUUUUGUAAUUGGUGGCUUUCUGGUCUGAUAACUAUAUACUUCUAGGCCUUUCAGUUAUUGCAUCUCAUAGCCAGUCAAGACCAAGAGACAAUGGUUUUUUUCUAAUGUCUCUUGGAUUUUUCCCCCAAUGCAGAAGUGUCUGAAACAAUAGAAUAAGAAAUUUGAGGGCAGCCUGGGUUCCCUAUUGACAUCUCUUAUCAGAAGCAUAACACAUACAGGAAGUUUAAGAUGACUUCAAUUACAGACAACAUGGGAGAGAAAUGUAGCUAGAUUGUUUAGAAGGCAGAUCCUCAUGGAUUCUACUCUCCCACUGUCUUCAACUGCUCACUGUCUCAGACAUAAGUAUUGAGCACCGUUAUUACAAUAUAAAAGAUUACGAUGGACUUCCAAGAUAAAGUGUCUUUUCCUCACCUUAGCCUACCUGUAUCAGUGUUCCCCCAGCAGUGGGCUUCACCUCCCAGUCCAUGUAGCUUAACCCUUCCUGGUAUCAUCAACUGCUGCCAGGAACACAGCUAAUAAUUCAGCAACUUAACCCAAAAUGGGGAAGGGAAGACCUUGAGAUAUCUGGAAAGAAUGAUCUACCUUGAAUACACGGUCCAAAGAAGACCAGGAAAGUGAAUCUUCUUGCUGAAUUCUGGGAUUUUUGUCAGCCUUUUUCAUUGUGGACAGUAAAGCUGGAGAAUAACACAGUCCAAGAAGAAAUGAAGAUGAAAGUCCAAGAGAUCUCUCUUAGGCUUGCUGGACCUGUUAAACUCUUCAGCAUGUCAUGUCAGCUCCUGUGGAUGGUGACUGUCAGAAGACCUUAACAGGGUUCCUGAACCUGAUGCCCAAUCACCUGCUAGUCGGGAAGGACUCAUUCUUAACAGGAACAGAUGUUCAUCCCUCAUUUUUAACUGAGAUUACAGUGAAGAUGUACUCUGGAACCAGGGAUGCCACUCAGACUACAAGAUUUUAAAAACAAAAGACUGAAACACACUAGAAGAGAGUGCUUGUUAGUAGCUGAAGAGUGAAUGUUGGAACCCUGCUAAGAAGUUUCCUUCUUGAGUACCAUCAAAAGACAGCUCAUUGGAGAGACGAUACCUGGGUAGAACAUCUACCAUUGAACUGUAUAGCUGAAGAACUACAUCUGGAUUUGACUUCUGUAUUCUACCAGGAAUAUUGUUAGACUAACCUUCAGCCAGUCCCUAAACAAUUGUUGACCAUAGACUGAACUAGCAGGUCCACACAACACACAUAGACUUCUGACCUAGAUCUUCCCUAUUAUUAAAAAAAACGAAGUUUUCUUGUAUUUUGACUUAUAGUUUAUAGUAACUGGUUUUCCCUUUAAAAUCUACUUGCUUGAAGGGGUAUUCAAUGUAACAAUCAAACUACUAAAAUACAAUUACAUGAAUACAGCAAAUUAUUAUAAGGGGGAGGGGGGAGUCCUAGGUUUAGUAGCUGGGAAAUGAUGUUUGUUUUACAUGGGGUAAAGGUUGUUUUUGUUUAACUAGUCCAUACAUAGUUUCUUCAUUUUAAUAGCUUCUUAGCCUGUGAAAUGGGCAUUCGAUGACAGGUAUGGUCAAGUUUAUAGAUGCAAUUAAAUCUUGUUUGAUAGCCUUUAAAGUAAGCCUUAAUGUGGCUGAGGAGCUAGUCCAGUAGAUAGAGCACUAGCAGAUGAUAAGAGCUAGCAUUCAGACUCCUAAGAAUGGGUAGACAUGUAGGCCACGUGUAAUCUUAGCACUGGGAAUAGUACCCACAAAGCAAGCUGGCCAAACUGUGAACUCUAGGUCCAGUGAAAAGCCCUGCAUGAAUACAUGGAAGGUGGUGAGCCGUCUGGAAAGAUGUUUCAACAUCUAACACAUAAAAGAACACAGUGCACUGAACAGUUUUGUUUUGUUUGAAGUUUGCCAAUGCUAUUUCAUAAUGUUUAAUUAAUGUUUGCUUUAUGCGAUUUUAGGAUCAUGGAAUCAGUAUCACUUACGUACCUGUUCUUUGAUAGGAGACACUCUGGGAAGGGGGAGUAAAACACAUCUUUGCCCUCAGAGCUUAGGAUGGAGUGUUUAUCAGUACAUGAGGAUGAUUGGUUUUCCUCAUAAAUGAGAAAUUCGUAGUAACGGGUAAAAAUACAUUUAUCCCCCCCCCCAAAAAAAAAAAAGAUGAUUAUAAAUGUUUGAUAAUGU